UACGUAGGUGACAAGCGUUGUCCGGAUUUACUGGGUCGUAAAGAGCGCGCAGGCGGUCGUUCAAGUCGAAGUGUGGAAAGCCCCCCGGCUCAACUGGGGAGGGUCACUCGAUACUGAUCGACUUGAAGGCAGGAGAGGGAAGCGGAAUUCCCGGUGAUAGUGGUGAAAUGCGAUAGAUAUCGGGAGGAACACCGAGUGGCGAAGGCGGCUC
rnacentral:rRNA from 1 species